rnacentral:rRNA from 4 species
GUACUUGGUGUUACUGCGAAGGGGGGACGGAGAAGGCUAUGUUGGCCGGGCGACGGUUGUCCCGGUUUAAGCGUGUAGGUGUGUGUUCCAGGUAAAUCCGGUUCACUUUAACACUGAGGCGUGAUGACGAGGCACUACGGUGCUGAAGCAACAAAUGCCCUGCUUCCAGGAAAAGCCUCUAAGCAUCAGGUAACAUCAAAUCGUACCCCAAACCGACACAGGUGGUCAGGUAGAGAAUACCAAGGCGCUUGAGAGAACUCGGGUGAAGGAACUAGGCAAAAUGGUGCCGUAACUUCGGGAGAAGGCACGCUGACACGUAGGUGAAGUGAUUUACUCAUGGAGCUGAAGUCAGUCGAAGAUACCAGCUGGCUGCAACUGUUUAUUAAAAACACAGCACUGUGCAAACACGAAAGUGGACGUAUACGGUGUGACGCCUGCCCGGUGCCGGAAGGUUAAUUGAUGGGGUCAGCGCAAGCGAAGCUCCUGAUCGAAGCCCCGGUAAACGGCGGCCGUAACUAUAACGGUCCUAAGGUAGCGAAAUUCCUUGUCGGGUAAGUUCCGACCUGCACGAAUGGCGUAAUGAUGGCCAGGCUGUCUCCACCCGAGACUCAGUGAAAUUGAACUCGCUGUGAAGAUGCAGUGUACCCGCGGCAAGACGGAAAGACCCCGUGAACCUUUACUAUAGCUUGACACUGAACAUUGAGCCUUGAUGUGUAGGAUAGGUGGGAGGCUUUGAAGCGUGGACGCCAGUCUGCGUGGAGCCGACCUUGAAAUACCACCCUUUAAUGUUUGAUGUUCUAACGUGGACCCGUAAUCCGGGUUGCGGACAGUGUCUGGUGGGUAGUUUGACUGGGGCGGUCUCCUCCUAAAGAGUAACGGAGGAGCACGAAGGUUGGCUAAUCCUGGUCGGACAUCAGGAGGUUAGUGCAAUGGCAUAAGCCAGCUUGACUGCGAGCGUGACGGCGCGAGCAGGUGCGAAAGCAGGUCAUAGUGAUCCGGUGGUUCUGAAUGGAAGGGCCAUCGCUCAACGGAUAAAAGGUACUCCGGGGAUAACAGGCUGAUACCGCCCAAGAGUUCAUAUCGACGGCGGUGUUUGGCACCUCGAUGUCGGCUCAUCACAUCCUGGGGCUGAAGUAGGUCCCAAGGGUAUGGCUGUUCGCCAUUUAAAGUGGUACGCGAGCUGGGUUUAGAACGUCGUGAGACAGUUCGGUCCCUAUCUGCCGUGGGCGCUGGAGAACUGAGGGGGGCUGCUCCUAGUACGAGAGGACCGGAGUGGACGCAUCACUGGUGUUCGGGUUGUCAUGCCAAUGGCACUGCCCGGUAGCUAAAUGCGGAAGAGAUAAGUGCUGAAAGCAUCUAAGCACGAAACUUGCCCCGAGAUGAGUUCUCCCUGAGACUUAGAGUCUCCUGAAGGAACGUUGAAGACGACGACGUUGAUAGGCCGGGUGUGUAAGCGCAGCGAUGCGUUGAGCUAACCGGUACUAAUGAACCGUGAGGCUUAACCUUACAACGCCGAAG